CAGAAGGGCAUCCCUCAAACACACUGCAUGUGUGAGGGUCAUGGUGCCCGGAGCAUCACUGUCAUUCACCUGCAUGGGAUGCAGCACUGGCUCCAUGUCUGAAGUCCCCUAGAUGGCCAGCUGAGGUGCCCUCAUCGUCUCUCAAUUCAUGCCACUGGGACCCCACCUACUCUGAUUUAAGAUGUUGCUUUCGGCAUGUCCCUGGCCACCCCCUACUGGCUCUGCCUACUGUAAACCUGGAGCGAUGGCGUGUUGGCGAAAACACCGAAGAUCCAGAGAGGAAUAGGGGCUGAGAAAUGGAGCUCAUUUCUGACAAUCUAAUUCUUCAUCCUUUCGCUGUGGAGGCCCAGGGUUCUUGGUUUUAGAACAAGAGCAGCA
rnacentral:lncRNA from 1 species